rnacentral:lncRNA from 1 species
GAAACCUUCAAUUAUUUGCUCCCUCUGGGGUACCGUGCAUCAUUCUUCUGAGGGUAUUUUUAGCCUACAACAAAGUUGUCUUUAUUCUGCAGUUCCUUAAUCCCUUUUUCUUCUGAUACUCUGGGAAACAAAACAGUAGCUGUUCUCAGAGGAAUGCCUGGAGAAUUACAUUAAUUCAGAAAACAAGAGAUUCACCAUGUAGUUCUGUGAUCUAAAUGGAAUGAGAAGGUCACACUGUACCUAUUCUUAAAUUGCAUCGUUUGCUUCUCCCAUUGUUACUUGCAUUUUAUGCAGACUCUUACUUGUGCCAGUUAGCUACAAAUUUGGGACUGUAGUCAGUCCACUGCUCCUCCAGAUAGGCAAAAUCUACUGCAUUAGCUCUAAUAGAGUCCUUUGCAAGCUUGACCUAACCUGGUCAGGAUCUGUUCUGAUUGAAUUGUAAAGCCUGUUAUGUCUCUUGCUGUACAUUUCUCUUGCUGCUAAAGUCUUCAUGUUUAGUCGGAUAUACUAAUUCUUCCACGAUCCUGGCCGUCUCAGCCCUACCAUCGGUCUACCCUUUGAGGUGUUUGGGAUUUAACAAAAAUGAACUACUUCUCUUGCCCAUGGAUUACCGGCAUGACAACAAGGCUCAUUAUUUUCAGAAGCUUGUGACUAUGUGGGAGAAUUUAUAUGUACUUCUGUGUGAUGAAGAAUUGGAUGCAGUCUCUUUGGAAGCUGUGCACCAACAAAAGAUGAAGAAUAGACAAGCCCACUCUUCAUCAGAGAGAGAACUAAAAUAAUGAAGACCAGAACUAUACAAGUUAUCAAGACGUACUAAUUCCUUAGUUGAUAAAGAACCUGCAUGAGACAGUGAUACAUCAGAGAGAGAAAAACUUUAAGCACUGAGAGGGGACAAACUGAUGGAUUCCAUGGCAAAGUUUCCUGACACAAUUCACCUCCAGAAACGUUAAUGUUACUUAGUAGAAAAAAAUAAAAAUCUCCAUGUUUAAAAAUAAAGAUUCAACUUAAACGACCCUAUAAUCAUGAAGAAAAUUGUCUUUAAAAUGGAAGUGUAUUAACCUCUGUGAGGUCCAGAGAAUACCUGGGGCCCAUAUAACAUAAGUCAGAAUUUUUUAACAUUAUAAACCAAGAUUAGUUAUUAAAAAUAUGUUUUAUCUUUUUACCCUGACAAAUAUGUCAGUAGAAGUCUUGAAACUGAGCACAAGUGUAG